UUUUGGUGCAUUUGGAUAUACCACCAAAUCACAGUUGGAAGUUUUUCCAAACCACUAGCUUUGGUGGUACCCUAUCAAAUAUCUUUGGUAAAUGGGAAAAUCCAAAUGUGGCCUACUCAUGUGUUUGAAUGCACAAGUCAACUGAAUUGCAAGUGUUCCAUCUAAUCAAGAGGAGAUAAUGAUUCAAACCCCAGAUCCUCAAUAUGAAUGUUAAGGAAACUAAAAUACGAUGUUUUUCACUUUAUUAGAUGCACGAUUGCAAUUCGAUUUGAUAGCACAUCCAAACACACCCUAAAUGUGCCGAUUCCAUUCAUUUGGUUCAAUUUUUUUCAACUGGAUAUAUUUUUAUUUCCUUAAAUUUUUCUUCUGAUUAUUAAAAUAGAUACAUUCAAAUCCAAUGAGCAAUCAAAAUAGAUGUAACUUCAACUGCUAAUGGUAUAAGUGUUUCUAAGCCCAUGUAUUGGAUUGAAGUGAAUGUAUGAAUGCAACCUAUAUUUUUAUGUGCAUUUGCAGAGUUUUUAAGAAUGGGUCCCAGACCAAACACUUUCAGUUACAUAAAACUGAAGACCGCCACCGAAGACUUCAAUCCUGCAAAUAUGUUGGGUCAGGGUGGAUUCAGCCCCGUUUUUAAGAUGGGCGGAUAGUGGCUGUGAAACAACUCUCAGUAACAUCUCACCAAGGAAAGAGUCAUUUUGUAGCGGAGAUUGCUGCUAUAUCUACUGUCCAACAAUGAAACCUUGUGAAGUUGCACGGAUGCUGCAUCGAGGGAGCACAUCGGCUACUUGUUUAUGAGUAUUUGGAAAACUAGAGCCUCGAUCAAGCUCUCUUUGGAGAGAGUAAAUUGCAUCUGGAAUGGCAUACCCGCUUUGAGAUAUGUUUAGGGACAGCAAGAGGUCUCGCUUACCUUCACGAGGAAUCCAGGCCUCGCAUUGUUCAUAGGGAUGUCAAAGCUAGUAAUAUUCUGUUUGAC